rnacentral:rRNA from 1 species
GAUGAACGCUAGCGGCGUGCCUAAUACAUGCAAGUCGAGCGAACAGAUAAGGAGCUUGCUCCCUUGACGUUAGCGGCGGACGGGUGAGUAACACGUGGGUAACCUACCUAUAAGACUGGAAUAACUCCGGGAAACCGGGGCUAAUGCCGGAUAACAUUUAGAACCGCAUGGUUCUAAAGUGAAAGAUGGUUUUGCUAUCACUUAUAGAUGGACCCGCGCCGUAUUAGCUAGUUGGUAAGGUAACGGCUUACCAAGGCAACGAUACGUAGCCGACCUGAGAGGGUGAUCGGCCACACUGGAACUGAGACACGGUCCAGACUCCUACGGGAGGCAGCAGUAGGGAAUCUUCCGCAAUGGGCGAAAGCCUGACGGAGCAACGCCGCGUGAGUGAUGAAGGUCUUCGGAUCGUAAAACUCUGUUAUUAGGGAAGAACAAAUGUGUAAGUAACUGUGCACGUCUUGACGGUACCUAAUCAGAAAGCCACGGCUAACUACGUG